AUUGAACGCUAGCGGCAUGCCUAACACAUGCAAGUCGAACGAGCGGCGGACGGGUGAGUAAUAUCUGGGAACCUGCCUGAUGGAGGGGGAUAACUACUCGAAACUGUAGCUACUACCGCACACCAUCAGAUGUGCCCAGAUGGGAUUAGCUAGUAGGUGGGGUAAUGGCUCACCUAGGCGACGAUCCGUAGCUGGUAUGAGAGGAUGACCAGCCACACUGGAACUGAGACACGGUCCAGACUCCUACGGGAGGCAGCAGUGGGGAAUAUUGGACAAUGGGGGAAACCCUGAUGCAGCCAUCCCGCGUGUGUGAUGAAGGCCUUCGGGUUGUAAAGCACUUUUGGCAGGGAGGCGGUACUCGCAGAAGAAGCACCGGCUAACUCCGUGCCAGCAGCCGCGGUAAUUC
rnacentral:rRNA from 1 species